UACGGAAGGCAGCAGUGGGGAAUAUUGCACAAUGGGCGAAAGCCUGAUGCAGCUAUGCCGCGUGUAUGAAGAAGGCCUUAGGGUUGUAAAGUACUUUCAUCGGGGAGGAAAAAACAAAACUAAUAAUUUUAUUUCUUGACGUUACCCGAAAAAGAAGCACCGGCUAACUCCGUGCCAGCAGCCGCGGUAAUACGGAGGGUGCUAGCGUUAAUCAGAAUUACUGGGCGUAAAGAGCACGUAGGUGGUUUUUUUAAAGUCAGAUGUGAAAUCCCUGGGCUUUAACCUAGGAACUGCAUUUUGAAACUGAAAUACUAGAGUAUCGUAGAGGGAGGUAGAAUUCUAGGUGUAGCGGUGAAAUGCGUAGAUAUCUGGAGGAAUACCUGUGGCGAAAGCGGCCUCCUAAACGAAUACUGACACUGAGGGUGCGAAAGCGUGGGGAAGCGAAAACAGGGAUUAGAUACC
rnacentral:rRNA from 1 species